UACGUAGGGUGCGAGCGUUGUCCGGAAUUAUUGGGCGUAAAGGGCUCGUAGGCGGUUUGUCACGUCGGGAGUGAAAACUCAGGGCUUAACCCUGAGCCUGCUCCCGAUACGGGCAGACUAGAGGUAUGCAGGGGAGAACGGAAUUCCUGGUGUAGCGGUGAAAUGCGCAGAUAUCAGGAGGAACACCGGUGGCGAAGGCGGUUCUCUGGGCAUUACCUGACGCUGAGGAGCGAAAGUGUGGGGAGCGAACAGG
rnacentral:rRNA from 1 species